rnacentral:lncRNA from 1 species
AGGUGCAAGUGGGCCUAGAAGCCCGAGGUGCAUUGCGAGUACCGCAGAGUGUCUGCGUCCAAUCCGAGCGGCUCCGAAUCCAAAUUGAAUCCGACCCACACUUUUCACGCCCAGGAUAAGAUCGGGUUCGAGAGGAUCCCAAGUCCAAUCAAAAUGAAAUGGAUCUAAUCUAACGGAAAUCUGAACCAAAAUGGAUCUAGACUUGG